rnacentral:rRNA from 1 species
AGAGUUUGAUCCUGGCUCAGGAUGAACGCUAGCGGCAGGCCUAAUACAUGCAAGACGAGCGGUAAUUCAAAUAGCAAUAUUUGGACUAGAGCGUCGUAAGGGUGCGUAACACGUAUGCAAUCUGCCCGGAACAGGAGGAUAGCUCGGGGAAACUCGAAUUAACACUCCAUAAGACAGUGGUGUGGCAUCACACAGCUGUUAAAUCUACGGAGGUUCCGGAUGAGCAUGCGGAUGAUUAGCUAGUUGGCGGUGUAACGGACCACCAAGGCAAUGAUCAAUAGGGGAACUGAGAGGUUGAUCCCCCACACUGGCACUGAGAUACGGGCCAGACUCCUACGGGAGGCAGCAGUAGGGAAUAUUGGACAAUGGGUGCAAGCCUGAUCCAGCCAUGCCGCGUGCAGGAAGAAGGCUUUCUGAGUUGUAAACUGCUUUUGCCAGGGGAUAAAAUACGGGUGCGCCCGGAAUUGAAGGUACCUGGUGAAUAAGCCACGGCUAACUACGUGCCAGCAGCCGCGGUAAUACGUAGGUGGCAAGCGUUGUCCGGAUUUAUUGGGUUUAAAGGGUGCGUAGGCGGUCUUCUAAGUCAGUUGUGAAAUACUUCAGCUUAACUGGAGAGGUGCAAUUGAUACUGGAAGACUUGAGUACUGAUGAGGUAGGCGGAAUGGACGGUGUAGCGGUGAAAUGCUUAGAUAUCGUCCAGAACACCGAUAGCGAAGGCAGCUUACUAAGGAGUAACUGACGCUGAGGCACGAAAGUGUGGGGAUCAAACAGGAUUAGAUACCCUGGUAGUCCACGCUGUAAACGAUGGGUACUAGGUUUGGUGGGUCUUGACCCCUGCCGAACCGUCGCUAACGCAAUAAGUACCCCGCCUGGGAAGUACGGUCGCAAGACUAAAACUCAAAGGAAUUGACGGGGGCCCGCACAAGCGGUGGAUCAUGUGGUUUAAUUCGAAACCACGCGAAGAACCUUACCUGGAUUUGACAUCUCCUGACAACUCUAGAGAUAGAGCUUCUGUAGCAAUACAGCAGGAUGACAGGUGCUGCAUGGCUGUCGUCAGCUCGUGUGGUGACAUGUUGGGUUAAGUCCCGCAACGAGCGCAACCCUUGUCUUUAGUUGCCAUCAUUAAGUUGGGCUCUCUAAAGAGACUGCCGUGGUUAACACGGAGGAAGGUGGGGAUGACGUCAAGUCCUCAUGGCCUUUAUAUCCAGGGCGACACACGUGAUACAAUGGACGGUACAGAGGGACGCCAAGAGGCAACUCGGAGCUAAUCUCAAAAAGCCGUUCUCAGUUCGGAUUGGAGUCUGCAACUCGACUCCAUGAAGUUGGAAUCGCUAGUAAUCGCGGAUCAGCACGCCGCGGUGAAUACGUUCCCGGGCCUUGUACACACCGCCCGUCACACCAUGGGAGCUGACUCAACCAGAAGACGGUCAGGCUAACCGCAAGGAGGCCGCCGGCGAAGGUGGGGUUGGUGACUGGGGUGAAGUCGUAACAAGGUA